GCCCGCAUAGCUCAGGCGGUAGAGCACUCCCUUGGUAAGGGAGAGGUCACUGGUUCGAAUCCAGUUAUGGGCACCA
rnacentral:tRNA from 1 species